AAGAUAAACAAACUCAAGAAAUAAUUUAUUUCUUUAAUUUCAAAUUUGAAGAUGAAUAAGGUAGUUGGAUUCAGUAAAUCCAGAUUUACGUUAUUUAUCUUCAAAUGUUUUCAUUUGUUCAGGUGGCAAAAGCUUUAUCAGAAAAAUUUUAAGAGGAAAGCUAUGUACUGUAAGGAAAGAAGCAAUAAUCUUCCCAGUCUCAAGAGCUUGUAAAAAGAAUUUUGGAUUAAAAACCUGGAAGACUAGCUUUAUCAGGAGCUUUGAUGACACGAACUUUAAAAGGCAAAAGGAACCCACUUAAAAACUGAUUGCUGCUGCUGAGGAAAGGUCUCACUGCAGAGACAAAAAUGCUACUGAGAUACCUUGAGCCAUUUCUGUGACAUGGAGCAUCAUGGGAACUACUAAACUGACCUUACGGUUUGUAUGAAAUCAGUGAUGUCUUAUGUGAAUAUGUCCUCAGUGACUGAUGAAGAGGCACAGCUGUGUUUUGGUGUAGCUGGAGUGUAGUUCACUGCUGAAAUGUUUGUGUUUAAGGUAGUCUGGGGGAAAGAUGCAGAGGAGUGGCCAGGGUGACAGAUAAGGGCCACUUAUCUUUUGCAUUCUUCUUGGAUGUCACUACAAUAAAUCUCUGCUUCAUGAUGCUAAAUCUAGAGCCUUCAACCUUCCAGAAUUCCUGGACCAGAUGUCAGACCUGUCACCAGAUGAUCAUCAAGUCCUGUGUAGCUUCUUUUGUGUGAAAGCAGGAGGGCUAGGAACCCUCUGAUGAAAGUGAAAGUUGAAAAAGCACAACUCUUGUAGCAAGAAAUCAAUUCCACCUCUGCAGUAGUACUAAUCUCUGUAAGAUUUGCCCAGCAAGUCCCAGCAGUGAAUUAACACAGAGCUUGUGAAAAAUAUAAGGAGCUGUAUAUA